rnacentral:rRNA from 1 species
UACGUAGGUGGAAAGCGUUGUCCGGAAUUAUUGGCCGUAAAGCGCGCGCAGGAGGUUCCUUAAGACUGAUGUGAAAGACCACGGCUCAACCGUGGAGGGUCAUUGGAAACUGGUGAACUUGAGUGCAGAAGAGGAAAGUGGAAUGCCACGUGUAGCGGUGAAAUGCGUAGAGAUGUGGAGGAACACCAGUGGCGAAGGCGACUUUCUGGUCUGUAACUGACACUGAGGCGCGAAAGCGUGGGGAGCGAACAGG